rnacentral:rRNA from 1 species
CGAGUGGCGAACGGGUGAGUAAUAUAUCGGAACGUGCCCAGUCGUGGGGGGAUAACGUAGCGAAAGCUACGCUAAUACCGCAUACGAUCUAUGGAUGAAANCGGGGGAUCGCAAGACCUCGCGCGAUUGGAGCGGCCGAUAUCAGAUUAGGUAGUUGGUGAGGUAAAGGCUCACCAAGCCGACGAUCUGUAGCUGGUCUGAGAGGACGACCAGCCACACUGGGACUGAGACACGGCCCAGACUCCUACGGGAGGCAGCAGUGGGGAAUUUUGGACAAUGGGCGCAAGCCUGAUCCAGCAAUGCCGCGUGCAGGAUGAAGGCCUUCGGGUUGUAAACUGCUUUGUACGGAACGAAACGGUGAGCUCUAAUACAGUUUGCUAAUGACGGUACCGUAAGAAUAAGCACCGGCUAACUACGUG